rnacentral:rRNA from 1 species
AACGAACGCUGGCGGCAGGCUUAACACAUGCAAGUCGAACGCAUGCCUUCGGGCAUGAGUGGCAGACGGGUGAGUAACGCGUGGGAACCUACCCCUUGGUACGGGAUAGCUCCGGGAAACUGGAGAUAAUACCGUAUGUGUCCUGAGGGACAAAGAUUCAUCGCCACGGGAUGGGCCCGCGUCGGAUUAGCUAGUUGGUGGGGUAACGGCCUACCAAGGCGCCGUUCCGUAGCUGGUCAAAGAGGAUGAUCAGCCACACUGGGACUGAGACACGGCCCAAACUCCUACGGGAGGCAGCAGUGGGUAAUAGUGGACAAUGGGCGCAAGCCUGAUCCAGCCAUGCCGCGUGAGUGAUGAAGGCCCUAGGGUUGUAAAGCUCUUUCACCGGUGACGAUAAUGACGGUAACCGGAGAAGAAGCCCCGGCUAACUUCGUG